ACUAUCAGCAAUUCAAGUCCAUGAUAUGAUGAAGUUUGUUUCAGAUCCGCAGAUAAAAAUGCAAACUGAAUCCUGCCUCCUGACAGCAUACCAACAUACCUAAAACAAGAAAGGAUAAUGAGUGCUGAAUGUUUCUUUUACUAUUAGCUUCAGAUCAAGCCUUUGAUGAGAAAAACAUGUUCUCUAUAAAGUUCAAACAUUUCAACAAAUAUUGGUGCUGCUUUAUAACAAUAAAAAUCCUUUUUUUUUUUUUUAGAAGGGAUUCUAAAUUAAAAUUCUCAAUCUAAACUGCA